AACGACCGCUGGCGGCGCGCCUAACACAUGCAAGUCGAACGCGAAAGAGGGGCAACCCUUGAGUAAAGUGGCGCACGGGUGAGUAAUACGUAGGUGAUCUCCCUCCGCAACCGGGAUAACCAGUCGAAAGAUUGGCUAAUACUGGAUAGAGCGCAGUAACUGUAAGGGUUAUUGCGGGAAAGGGUGGCAUUCACACUGAGUUCUUUAGUUGAAGACAACGGCCGAGUUGAAGGCAAAACGGCCGAGUUGGAAGCGAUUAGAGAAUUGAGAGUGAGUGCUACUGUGCUGAGAUGAGCCUGCGUCUCAUUAGCUAGUUGGUAGGGUAAUGGCCUACCAAGGCUAUGAUGGGUAGCUGGUCUGAGAGGACGAUCAGCCACACUGGAACUGAAACACGGUCCAGACUCCUACGGGAGGCAGCAGUGGGAAUCUUGCGCAAUGGACGAAAGUCUGACGCAGCGACGCCGCGUGAGUGAAGAAGGCC
rnacentral:rRNA from 1 species